UUGGAGGGCAAGUCUGGUGCCAGCAGCCGCGGUAAUUCCAGCUCCAAUAGCGUAUAUUAAAGUUGUUGCAGUUAAAAAGCUCGUAGUUGAAUUUCGGGGUUCUACCGUUGGUCGGGCUUUGUCUGUACUGGUGUGUAGAAUUUCUACCUUCUGGGGAACCAUCAUGCUAUUAAUUUAGCGUGGUGGGAAACCAGGACCUUUACCUUGAAAAAAUUAGUGUGUUCAAAGCAGGCUUAUGUCUGAAUACAUUAGCGUGGAAUAAUAGAAGAGGACGGUGGUCCUGUUUUGUUGGUUUCUGAAUCACCGUAAUGAUUAAUAGGGAUAGUUGGGGGCAUUAGUAUUCAAUUGUCAGAGGUGAAAUUCUUGGAUUUAUUGAAGACUAACUUCUGCGAAAGCAUUUGCCAAGGAUGUUUUCAUUAAUCAAGAACGAAAGUUAGGGGAUCGAAGACGAUCAGAUACCGUCGUAGUCUUAACCAUAAACUAUGCCGACUAGGGAUCGGACGAUGUUAAUUUUUCUUGACUCGUUCGGCGCCUUACGGGAAAC
rnacentral:rRNA from 1 species